GUAGAAGUCUCUCUCCCUCACCACACGCCGCUGACUCAGCAUCAUGUGAUUGCAGGGGAUCAGGUACCUGGGGGGGUACAUGGUGCUCGGUUACACGCCCUGUCGUUUCCUUCACGCUUUGACGAUCACGCCGUCUCACCUGAGGACGAGCUGCAGCAUCACGUCUUCACAGUGCAAACUGAUGAGCGUGCGGAAAAGUGCCAGCGACACGACGCCCAGCUGGGGACAAACGCGGACCAACAGAGAGCCACUAGGGCGGCGCUACAGUGCCCCGCACUAGGUGAGUACCAGAGUUUGAGAAUCACUGUCUGACAUGAAUAAUGACAUUGGUGUACCUGGAAGGGGGUGUUGAUGCGGCUGACCAGCGUGUCCAGGAUGUGGACGUUCUCGUGACGGUGCAGGAGGACAAAGGAGAGGAAGGUCUGCAGCAGAGCCGGCUCAGUGAUGCUCCUCAGGAAGAGGUCCAGGUACGCCGUGGUGGUCAUUACCUCCUCCAGGGUCAGCUAGAAGCCCAGGGAGGUGCAUCUUUUAGUUUAUUACCGUAACGUUUAAAGUUGAGGCAGAGAUAAGGAUGCCUACUAACCUUGUGGAGCGCAGGAGCCAGUACAGGAACCAGGAAGCCAUUGUAGAUGUAGCCCAGGAGCUGGGUUCUGAUGUCUGGGUGGGCCACCUGGGAAGUCACAGUGGAACAAGUUCUCAAGACUGUACAUUUUCAAGCACUUUUUUGUUGUUGUUGUUGUUGUUUACUUGAGUAACAGCGUUGCAGAAUUCCAGUGAGUUGAGAAACUGCACCAAGGAGGGCAUCCUGAGCCAGUCUUCCCUGUGCAGGCAGUGCCACUCUUCACUGGGAGGCUCCAGCUUGGUGGGCAGGGAGGAGUAGAGUCCGCUCAGGCCUGUGGCCAGAACCUGAGGACAAGCUGUUGCAGAUAAAAGAGAAUGGAGUGAAGUUUCCCAGGCCAGCAAAAUGAGCAUCCAGACAACUUUGUGGCCCUAAUCUGACUUGCAUGACCAAGUGGUGCUGCUUAGGAACCCAGACUGGUGACCACGGUGUCAGCCUUCCCACUGCUUCACCUUUGCUGUGUCAACAAACCUGGAUGUGGGUCCAUGGAAACAAGAACCCGCUGGGAGGUCACAUGGUCUUCAAGGGCGUGCCGGGACUCUAACAUCGGACAUAAGAGGAACAUGAAGUCAGGACAACCAAGCGGGUGUGACCGACAAGGCAGUUCUUGUUGUGAAAUCUACCUAGCGACACAUGAGUGCAAGUUUUUGGAUGGGAACAUUGUGAUAUUAAGUCGGCUCCUACCGGAGACUUCAGUGGAUUAUGAGACCUCAUCCUGCAGCUCAAAAAGGCAGCUAUGAUCUUGGCUCCUCGGCUUCUCUCAGAGACACUGGCGUUCACCGCAGUCAUUCGACUUUCAGGUGUGACUUUACAAUCUCACUAAAACACUAUUAUAACA